rnacentral:rRNA from 1 species
UACAGAGGUCUCAAGUGUUGUUCGGAUUCAUUGGGCGUAAAGGGUGCGUAGGCGGCGCGGUAAGUCGGGUGUGAAAUCUCGGGGCUUAACUCCGAAACUGCAUUCGAUACUGCCGUGCUUGAGGACUGGAGAGGAGACUGGAAUUUACGGUGUAGCGGUGAAAUGCGUAGAUAUCGUAAGGAAGACCAGUGGCGAAGGCGGGUCUCUGGACAGUUCCUGACGCUGAGGCACGAAGGCCAGGGGAGCAAACGGG